CUUGAGCGAGCCCAGCAUCAGCGGCUGUCCCUCGGCCCGGUCCUGACCGUAGGUGGCGAGCAGCGCCUGGGCCUC
rfam:Streptomyces sp. WM6378 P402contig131.1, whole genome shotgun sequence.